rnacentral:lncRNA from 1 species
AUACAAGAAAUUAAUAUGCCACCCCAUUUAUUUUGGCAUUUAUGCGGAGAAGUCCUUCUGGUUUACUCCUUUAAAAUUUCUUACCAAUUUACACAUGUCCCUUUAUUUUUGUGCCAUCAGAUGGUGCCUUGGGAUAAGUGGGCAUGGAAGAGAAGGAGGAGUCCUUCUCUUGAAAGAAACUUCAUGCCAAAAUUUAUUUGGGAUGCCCCUUCUUUUAUGCAUU